rnacentral:rRNA from 1 species
GACGAACCGUGCGAACGUUGUUCGGAAUCACUGGGCUUAAAGGGCGCGUAGGCGGGUUCGCAAGUCUGUGGUGAAAGCCCCCAGCUUAACUGGGGAAGUGCCGUGGAUACUGCGAAUCUUGAGGAGGGUAGGGGCGUCUGGGAACGGUCGGUGGAGCGGUGAAAUGCGUUGAUAUCGUAAGGAAGACCAGUGGCGAAGGCGGGUCUCUGGACAGUUCCUGACGCUGAGGCACGAAGGCCAGGGGAGCAAACAGG